rnacentral:rRNA from 1 species
AACUUAAAGGAAUUGACGGAAGGGCACCACCAGGAGUGGAGCCUGCGGCUUAAUUUGACUCAACACGGGGAAACUCACCAGGUCCAGACACAAUAAGGAUUGACAGAUUGAGAGCUCUUUCUUGAUUUUGUGGGUGGUGGUGCAUGGCCGUUCUUAGUUGGUGGAGUGAUUUGUCUGCUUAAUUGCGAUAACGAACGAGACCUUAACCUACUAAAUAGUGG